GCGUGUCAAUCUGUUGCGGUCAAUCUCCUAUCGUCUGUCGUCGGUGAAGAGCACCUGCAAGAUAAAGUCCUCACAAACCGAAAUUAUGUCCGACAGGGAUCCUUCGAUACUUAAUUCAGAGAGGAGAUUGGUGAACAACAGAUAAGAAUGUUGAGAGUGGCAGAGUUUUAGUUCAGAAUUAUUUUACUCGUGCUGUUGG
rnacentral:lncRNA from 1 species